rnacentral:sRNA from 1 species
GAAGAAGUCGACGUCUAAGAUACAGAGUUCCUCUGUCCACCAAUUUGGUGGUGUUCGACAUG